AUUGAACGCUGGCGGCGUGCUUAACACAUGCAAGUCGUGCGGUAACAGGCGUAGCAAUACGUGCUGACGAGCGGCGAACGGGUGCGUAAUACAUGGGAAUCUGCCCUUUAGUGGGGAAUAACCCGGCGAAAGCCGGGCUAAUGCCGCAUAAGAUCUUCGGAUGAAAGCGGGGGAUCGUAAGACCUCGCGCUGUUGGAUGAGCCUAUGUCGGAUUAGCUAGNGGUGAGGUAACGGCUCACCAAGGCGACGAUCCGUAGCUGGUCUGAGAGGACGGCCAGCCACACUGGGACUGAGACACGGCCCAGACUCCUACGGGAGGCAGCAGUGGGGAAUAUUGGACAAUGGGGAAACCCUGAUCCAGCGACGCCGCGUGUGUGAAGAAGGCCUGCGGGUUGUAAAGCACUUUCGAUGGGAACGAAA
rnacentral:rRNA from 1 species